rnacentral:lncRNA from 1 species
CAGCAAGUAUGUACUUCUUAUGUCCCCCCAUAAGUCUACUAUAUGCAACUGUGCUUGAUAGAGGAACGACACCACCAUUGCGGCCUUGUGGUUCAGACAGCUCUAUGCAAUCAUUGUUCCCUUGAAUAUGAUCACAUAUAUAAUCCCUUAAGUAUUCUGGUGGCCUCUUUGUCCUCAUUGAUUUUCUCCUUGGAAUCUCAUCGUCAUUCAUAUGGUUUUCUCUUUUUUCUACUUCCCCAUAAAUUAUUUCUUGAUUGUUAAAUACCUCUUCUAUCUGUGUGAGGUCUCUAACCUCCAUA